UCCCGUUGAUCCUGCGGGAGGUUGCUGCUAUUGGGAUUCGACUUAGCCAUGCAAGUCCAGGGGUCGCAAGACACCGGCAGAAUGCUCAGUAACACGUCGAUAAUCUGUCCUCAGGUCAGGAAUAACCUUGGGAAACUGAGGCUAAUGCCUGAUGGGAGAAUUCUUCUGGAAUGAUGUUUCUCUGAAAGAUUACGCCUGAGGGUGAGUCGGCGGCGGAUUAGGCUGUUGGUGGGGUAAUGGCCCACCAAACCCAAGAUCCGUAGGGGCCUUGAGAGAGGUAGCCCCGAGAAGGACACUGAGAUACUGGUCCUAACCCCACGGGGUGCAGCAGGCGCGAAACCUUUACACUGCACGAAAGUGUGAUAAGGGAAUCCCAAGUGCUUAUGCAAUGCAUAGGCUUUUGCCAAGAGUAAAUAUCUUGGCGAAUAAGCGGUGGGAAAGACUGGUGCCAGCCGCCGCGGUAACACCAGCGCCGCAAGUGGGAACCACAAUUAUUGGGCCUAAAGCGUCCGUAGCCGGCCUGAAAAAUCAUUUGUGAAAUCGUUCGGCCUAACCGAACGGCGCGCAGAUGACACUCUUAGGCUCGGAACCGGGAGGAGUCAGAGGUAUUCUUGGGGGAGCGGUAAAAUGCUAUAAUCCCUUGAAGACCGCCAGUGGCGAAGGCGUCUGACUAGAACGGAUUCGACGGUGAGGGACGAAAGCCAGGGGAGCGAACCGGAUUAGAUACCCGAGUAGUCCUGGCCGUAAACGCUGUGAGCAAGGUGUUGCAUAUUCUUCAUGAAUAUGCAGUGUUGAAACGAAGGUGUUAAGCUCACCGCCUGGGAAGUAUGGUCGCAAGACUGAAACUUAAAGGAAUUGGCGGGGGAGCACCACAAGGGGUGCGGCGUGCGGUUUAAUCUAACUCAACGCAGAAAAUCUCACCAGGGGCGACGGCAGGAUGAGAGUCAGGCUGAAGACCUUACUCGACGAGCCGAGAGGUAGUGCAUGGCCGCCGUCAGCUCGUGCCGUGAGGUGUCCUCUUAAGUGAGGCAACGAGCGAGACCUGUACCUACAAUUGCUAGCGAGCUCAUCGAGUGAUCGAGCACAUUGUAGGGACUGCCUUGGAAACAAGGAGGAAGGUGCAGGCUACGGUAGGUCUGUAUGCUCCGAAUCCUCUGGGCUACACGCGCGCAACAAUGGUAGGGACAAUGGGAUACGACUCCGAAAGGAGAAGUUAAACCUCGAAACCCUAUCCAAGUCCAGAUUGAGGGCUGAAACUCGCCCUCAUGACGUCGGAAUCCCUAGUAAUCGAAGUUCAACAUACUUCGGUGAAUGUGUCCCUGCUCCUUGCACACACCGCCCGUCAAACCAACCGAGCAGGGUUUAGAUGAGUCUUGCUUUCUUGAGUAAGCCGAAUCUAAGCUCAGUAAGGUGGGUUAAGUCGUCACAAGGUA
rnacentral:rRNA from 1 species